rnacentral:lncRNA from 1 species
CCACAGCCUUCGCUGCACCAGUUGAGGUUGGGACAAUGUUGAGUGCUGCAGCACGUGCACGUCUCAGAUCCCUGUGGCUGGCAUCAAGCAACCUCUGGUCUCCGGUGUAGGAGUGAGUUGUAGUCAUAGUUCCCUUAAUAAUGCCUAUUAUGACAUAUCUCAUACAUUUUAGCUCUUGGAACCAUUUUACUUUCUUUAUUUAAAAAAUGCUUGGGGAAGAAAGUAUUACCAAAUUUCUGGUCAAGAACCUUGACAAAGGGUGCAAGGCAGUUAGUAGUGCAGGAUGCAUUACUAAUUAUGGUCUCAGAAUGAUCAUAUAACUCCGCGUUGACACCAACAACAUAUGUUGGAAUGUCACCCUUCCCCGGGGCUGUGAUGAGCACUUUCUUGGCUCCAGCCUCAAGAUGCUUACCAGCACCUUCUCUGUCCACAAACACCCCUGUCCCUUCAAUGACCAGGUCAAUUCCCAGCUCCCUGUAAGCUUUCACAGAAUUAUUCCUUGUACAAAGUGUAAUUUGUAAGUUAAUAAAAACGCUAAACGAGCAAAGAUAGUUGCAAGUACCCCCAUGGUAGGUUGCUAGGAUUGCGGUUAGAGACGACUUGGAUGACCUUUCCAUCAACAGAUAUGCCAUCAGUGCCAACAGGCUUGACAUCAGCAUCAAAGAUGCCAAGUGUUGAGUCGUAUUUAAGCAGGUGAGAUGCUUGCUUUACACCACCGGUGUCGUUGAUUGCAACAACAUCAAGAGGAGAGUCUUUCCUUCCAUGCCAACACCUAAGAAAGUUCCUUCCAAUUCUUCCAAAUCCAUUGAUGGCUACCUUCAAUUUAGCUUCCACAACUCCCCUCUUGUUCCCUCCACCGAUCUAGAUUAAUCACAAAUCGGCCCCAAAAUAUAGUACAUUAGAUCUUCCUAUAAAUAAAUCUACAAGACUACAGUACUCAUUAUAGAAACAAAACUUUUCAGGUAGAUCUCUGUUUACUUGUCUCCGCGGUCUUACUGAGCAGUCAUAAGGUCUCACACCAAAUUAAAACGACGAAUAUUUUUUAUACUAUAAUCGACAUUGAUAUUGUGAAAUUUACUAGCAAUACUGAAUUAAUCUUAUAAAAAAAAUUACUAGCUAGAAUUUAAGAAUUCAUUUAUCUAAUUCUGAUAAUAAUAUGAAUUGCUACCAACAAUGUCGGUUGAAAAGUGAAUAACAGGGGAGACUUACGACAGAGGUCUGGAAAGCAACAACAGAGAGCAAGUCAUCAGAUGUUCUUCUGUUAAAAGGCAGAGCAGCAGACGAACGCAGGCCCGUGAAAUCCGAGAAUCCCUUGUUCACCUGCACAUUUACCACAAACAUACAUUUAACACUAGGCGCAUAAAAACUUCACAUUUUAUAUGCUCUCAUUAGUCCCGUUCAAAAACACGUUACACGUCCAGUAUUUCCGCGGUCUGGGAAGUGUAAAAUGUACGCUGACAAACGUAAGCGUAACGCAGAAAAACAUAGUAACUACAAGUAGUUAAG